UACAGAGGGUGCGAGCGUUACUCGGAAUUACUGGGCGUAAAGCGUGCGCAGGCGGUCUUUUAAGUCAGCUGUGAAAUCCCUCGGCUUAACCGAGGAACUGCGUCCGAUACUGAAAGGCUUGAAUCCGGGAGAGGGAUGUGGAAUUCCAGGUGUAGCGGUGAAAUGCGUAGAUAUCUGGAGGAACACCGGUGGCGAAGGCGGCAUCCUGGACCGGUAUUGACGCUGAGGCGCGAAAGCUAGGGGAGCAAACGGG
rnacentral:rRNA from 1 species